rnacentral:rRNA from 1 species
GCGCAACGCGCUGAGGGACGCGGCCUUCGGGUUGAAACCUCUUUUAGCAGGGAAGAAGCGAAAGUGACGGUACCUGCAGAAAAAGCGCCGGCUAACUACGUGCCAGCAGCCGCGGUAAUACGUAGGGCGCAAGCGUUAUCCGGAAUUAUUGGGCGUAAAGAGCUCGUAGGCGGUUUUGUCGCGUCGGCUGUGAAAACGUGGGGCUUANCCCUACCCCUGCAGUGGGUACGGGCAGACUAGAGUGCGGUAGGGGAAGACUGGAAUUCCUGGUGUAGCGGGGGAAUGCGCAGAUAUCAGGGGAACACCGGUGGCGAAGGCGGGUCUUUGGCCGUUACUGACGCUGAGGAGCGAAAGCAUGGGGAGCAACAGAUUAGAUACCCUGUAGUCCAUGCCGUAAACUUGGGCAGUAGGUGUGGACCCAUUCCACGGGUCGUGCCG